UACAGAGGGUGCGAGCGUUAAUCGGAAUUACUGGGCGUAAAGCGCGCGUAGGCGGCUUUGCAAGUCGGGUGUGAAAUCCCCAGGCUUAACCUGGGAACUGCAUUCGAGACUGCAUUGCUAGAGUAUGGGAGAGGGAAGUGGAAUUUCCGGUGUAGCGGUGAAAUGCGUAGAUAUCAGGAGGAACACCGGUGGCGAAGGCGGCCUUCUGGGCCGGUACUGACGCUGAGGAGCGAAAGCUAGGGGAGCGAACAGG
rnacentral:rRNA from 1 species